AAAGCAUUAAAAAAAAAUUGUUUUUUCGUUGCACAGUGCACAAUCUCUCCCUCUCUGACCUUGUCUGCUCGGUUUAAAAAGCAAGAGGGUCUGUGGCAAUUCAAAUGCAGGGAGGCUGAACUGUACAGCCAGCGGGAAGACCUUCAACUUUAUGGCAAGAGACGAGAAAGCAUGAUGGAGAUGCUCUCUGUGCCUUUCUGCUGCCUGCUGCUACAGAGUAAUAGACUGGCAAGUAUGCAGGAUGCAUUAUGAAUAAGGUCUGGCUACAAAAGGCAAAGCAAGCUACUUGUUCAAAGUGAUUCAUUCCAUCACCCACGGAGGUGAAGGGUAAAGAGUUUAUGCAGCAUGCACUCUCUCUCUCUCUCUCUCUCUAGAAGAUAAAUUUGGCUGAGAACACCACAGAUGUUGGCUUCUAUUUUCUAAAGCCACAUUUUGCUGUGUCAGUCCCUCCCAGUGCAGGAUGAGCCUCUGCGUCGCAGCAUGACCCCAACUCUCACCUGAGGAACCAGCUUAGAUUGGCCAUUUGAAACCCUUGUCGUCAUCUGAUUGGUCAAAACAACCUAAGAGCACAUGAUAACUGAACUUGGAUAAGCUGCUGGGCAAGGCCAUUCAGGAGGCGGGUCCUCUGAGAAAGAUCCUCAAAGUCAUGCCGGAAUGGGAA